GGCCCUGUAGUGAAUUUACACGUUGAAUUGCAAAUUCAGAGAAGCAGCUUCAAAUUCUGCCGGGGCUU
rnacentral:tRNA from 1 species